UUCGUUCUCAACCGUAAACCAGCGUAACGCAUUAAUUAUGCAUUCGUAGAUUCUCCUUUGUCAUAUCGUGUAAAAAACGUGGCAGUACCGAUUACGUAAGUAGAAUCACAUGUUAGUAACGCUUAUCGGCGGCACGCUUCGGUCUUUCGUAAGAGUAACUGCUGCGUUAGCACGCUUGUCGCAAAGGUGCUCGCGCGAUUACCUCGACUAAAAAUAUGAACUCAUACGCAUUUAUGUACCUUGUAUGCGUAUGUUCGCGCAGUACGCAUCGAAGAAACAUUCUAUUCAUAAGUUUCGAUCCUUUCGAUGGUCGAAGAUCGCACACCUGUAAACCCCUGCACACGCAAAACGCAUAAUCGUAUUCGCAGUUUGAUAGGUUAUAUAUACCACACGAGCUUUCCAAUUGCUCGUUCGCGAUAAGCCCGACUCGCAUAAACGUUCCUGUAAACUCAAUUUGCAACAAAUGUUAUCGCGGCUUUAUAAUGCUAAUCGCUUUGCCAGUGCUGAUCACGUGACGUUGAUUUGCGUAAAGCUAAUAUUCGUGGUGCCGGCAUUAAAACUAUAGUCUAUUUUCUCUCAGUUCGCUCGAAUUCUAUCUAUAUAUUAGAAAAUCGAAUGAUUCAUCAAGGGGUAUACGUAGAACAAAAUCAUUUCUUUUCGAUACUUCGAUACUACUAAUAUUUGAUGGGAAAGAUCUUGAGAAAAGAGUUGACUUUUAUAAUAUGCAAGAAGAAACAGGAUCGGAGCAACAAUAGAGCAAGAAAUAACUCGCACGCGCGCAGGCGCAUACCGAUGCACGAACCGAUGCAACGGCACGAACCUAGCGUAUUUCCUUUGCUAAGGGAAAGGGCAAAAGGUGUCACUCGCUUCGACGCUCCUACCUUUUGCCACGUGUGACAGGUCAGAAAUAGAAAAAGCGAGAGAUGGAAAAUCUAUGGACUAUCCAUCCAAGUCCUAUGGGAAGCUUUCUUCGGAUUCAACAUAUUUCAUAAACCGAUUAUGAUUUUAUUCAACUAUAUUAAGAUAAUUUAUCAGAAUUAUCUUAAACGACACAAAUCGAUGAUCAAUUUUCCAAUAUAUAAUUCUUAGGUUUACGAGAGCGAACGUUGUUUCCAAACCACCUCGAAUGGCUAAGUUGGUCGUUUGAGUUCGUUCGUUGGAAGCAGGUAAAGGUGAAAAAUGCGACGUGUACAUUGCUAAAGGUACGAGAUUAUUUGCGAGAAACUCACCGUUGUCGUCGUCGUCGUCGUCGUCGUCGUCGUCGUCGUCGCGGACAAGGCGUGGAAGAAAUUUCAGCAAUAGGACGUUGCGAUUGGGAAAUCGUUAAUUAUCGUUCGCCGAAGAGAGCAACGGGGAAUGAACGCUUUUCUUGUAGUCAAGAAUAACUUCCUACCGUAUAAGUACACGUAUCGCCCUCGCGACUUGCUUGCACGCGCACACACAUACACGGAAUAUAGUGGAGAACCUUGCCGAGUACUAGUAGCUAACGUAAGAGUCUUGCGAUCGACGGAUAUCCAUCCAUCCAUCCAUCCAUCCAUCCAUCCAUCCAUCUGAUGCAACUAACGUCGAGGAAGAAACGAGAAAAGAGAAAAGAUUUACGAGCUCGACGAUAGAAACGUCAUUGCGGUUUUCCCUGAAUAAAAUCAAAGAAAAGCAUCGUAGAUCUUGAUUACAAGCCUAACAAAGUCAACGAGAAAGAGCUUACUCGCUUGCUUGUGCGUGCACGCUUAUGAUUUUGGAUUUGGUUCACCCAAAUAUAGCCGCUAGACAAACACGAGUUUAUACCGUGUAGAACGUCUCGUUGACGUUCGAAUAGGGGGAUGUUUAGCAACGAGGGAUGAUUCAAAGACCCCGCCACCAAUCUGUUUCCCCUCUCGUUAAGCCGCGAGCUGUCCAUUCAAGCGGACGCCAUCUCUCUCUCUCUCUCUCUCUCUCUUUACUUUACGAGCCAGCUUUGUUCGUGAAUUAUUGAAAUAAACUGCGUUUUAACCGAUGAUAUCUAAUGCUUCAAAGUAAGCCAAAAUUUUAUUGGAAAAUAAUCAACGUAUUAUUCGAAAGAGUUCUCUCUGCUUACAUUCAAUGUUAUACUACAUUCAACGCUAAAAUAGGUUAGGAAAAAGGUGUUCCACAUCUGGGCAAGAAAUAGAAAGAGAGGACAAUGGUGAUCGUGCAUUGGUAGUAGAAGAAAAGACGAAAAGGGCCAACGUUUAUUGUACGGGUCCUACGGAAAAGCAAGAGAGAAACAGAGAGGGAUACGAGAGGGAGACCGACGAAAAUAAAAAGAUAGACAAAUUUACAGAUGAUCUGAAGAUAUUCGAAUAUUUACAAUAUAGAAGUUUUCAAACUUUUCCGAGAAAUGAAUGUUGAAACAUGUGGGAGAGGUGGUGCGAAAGAGGGGUGGUAGAAAUCGAGGAAAAAGAAAAAGUAUGCUGAGAAAUACAAGACGCAGUAAAUAAGGACGAAUAUAUAUAUAUAAUAUAUACUUUGUAGAAAGAGAGAGAGAGAGAAAGGAAGGAAGCAAAAAAAAGAUAAAAGAAGAAAAUGCUUCGAAUAGAAGAAGAAUGUGAUUUGAGUGAAGGGGAUCGGAGAGGAAAG
rnacentral:lncRNA from 1 species